rnacentral:rRNA from 1 species
CCUACGGGGGGCAGCAGUGAGGAAUAUUGGUCAAUGGACGCAAGUCUGAACCAGCCAUGCCGCGUGCAGGAAGACGGCUCUAUGAGUUGUAAACUGCUUUUGUACGAGGGUAAACGCAGAUACGCGUAUCUGUCUGCAAGUAUCGUACGAAUAAGGAUCGGCUAACUCCGUGCCAGCAGCCGCGGUAAGACGGAGGAUUCAAGCGUUAUCCGGAUUUAUUGGGUUUAAAGGGUGCGUAGGCGGUCGGAUAAGUUAGAGGUGAAAUCCCGAGGCUCAACUUCGGAAUUGCCUCUGAUACUGUUCGGCUAGAGAGUAGUUGCGGUAGGCGGAAUGUAUGGUGUAGCGGUGAAAUGCUUAGAGAUCAUACAGAACACCGAUUGCGAAGGCAGCUUACCAAGCUACUUCUGACGUUGAGGCACGAAAGCGUGGGGAGCAAACAGGAUUAGAUACCCUUGUAGUC